rnacentral:rRNA from 1 species
UACAGAGGGUGCAAGCGUUAAUCGGAAUUACUGGGCGUAAAGCGCACGCAGGCGGCUUUGUAAGUUAGAGGUGAAAGCCCGGGGCUCAACUCCGGAAUUGCCUUUAAGACUGCAUCGCUAGAAUUGUGGAGAGGUAAGUGGAAUUCCGAGUGUAGAGGUGAAAUUCGUAGAUAUUCGGAAGAACACCAGUGGCGAAGGCGACUUACUGGACACAUAUUGACGCUGAGGUGCGAAAGCGUGGGGAGCAAACAGG